rnacentral:rRNA from 1 species
CCUACGGGUGGCAGCAGUGAGGAAUAUUGGUCAAUGGACGGAAGUCUGAACCAGCCAUGCCGCGUGCAGGAAGACGGCUCUCUGAGUUGUAAACUGCUUUUGUACAAGGGUAAACCUGAAUACGUGUAUUCAGCUGAAAGUACUGUACGAAUAAGAAUCGGCUAACUCGGUGCCAGCAGCCGCGGUAAUACGGAGGAGCCAAGCGUUGUCCGGAUUUAUUGGGUUGAAAGGGUGCGUAGGCGGAUUGAUAAGUUAGAGGUGAAAUGUCCGAGCUUAACUCGGGAACUGUCUGUGAUACUGUUGUUCUAGAGAGUAGAUGAGGAAGGCGGAAUGUAUGGUGUAGCGGUGAAAUGCUUAGAGAUCAUACAGAACACCGAUAGCGAAGGCAGCUUACCAAUCUAUAUCUGACGUUGAGGCACGAAAGCGUGGGGAGCAAACAGGAUUAGAUACCCUAGUAGUC